rnacentral:rRNA from 1 species
UACAGAGGUCUCAAGCGUUGUUCGGAUUCAUUGGGCGUAAAGGGUGCGUAGGCGGCUUCUUAAGUCUGGUGUGAAAUCUCCCGGCUCAACUGGGAGGGUGCGCCGGAUACUGAGGGGCUAGAGUGUGGGAGAGGAAAGUGGAAUUCCUGGUGUAGCGGUGAAAUGCGUAGAUAUCAGGAGGAACACUGGUGGUGUAAACGGCUUUCUGGACCAUAACUGACGCUGAGGCACGAAAGCGUGGGUAGCAAACAGG